GACGAACGCUGGCGGCGUGCUUAACACAUGCAAGUCGAACGGAAAGGCCCUGCUUUUGUUGGGUGCUCGAGUGGCGAACGGGUGAGUAACACGUGAGUAACCUGCCCUUGACUUUGGGAUAACUCCAGGAAACUGGGGCUAAUACCGGAUAGGAGCUCCUGCUGCAUGGUGGGGGUUGGAAAGUUUCGGCGGUUGGGGAUGGACUCGCGGCUUCCCAGCUUGUUGGGUGGGUAGGGGCUUACCAAGGUUUUGACGGGUAGCCGGCCUGGGAGGGGGACCGGCCACCAUGGGACUGAGGGAGGGCCCAGACGGCUACGGGAGGCAACGGUGGGGAGUAUUGCACAAUGGGCGGGAGCGUGAUGCAGCGACGCCGCGAGCGGGAUGACCGCCUUCGGGUUAUAAACCGCUUUGGCCGGUGACGAAGCGUGAGUGACGGUAAUGGGUAAGGAAGCACCGGCUAACUACGUG
rnacentral:rRNA from 1 species